rnacentral:tmRNA from 1 species
GGGGGCGACACGGUUUCGACGGAAGCAGUCGCGACCCGAAGGCAUGCCGGGCGCCACCUGCCCGCAAUCGGGUGGAAAAACAUAACUGCCAACACAGAGUUGGCUUUGGCUGCCUAGACAAAACCUAGCGUAGCCCGUCUCCUCGAGCAACGCCUGCGGGCUUGAUGUGAGGCGUCAUUUAGCAGGCUGGCCGGUGCGUCUCGGCCCGUGAUUCACCGGUGAGAACCAUCGGGCUAGCCGGCCGCGUUUCUUGCUCGUUCUGACCGCGGUCGGCGAACCAAACGGAAUGAGCUAAGCAUGUAGGCUUCGGGCCGUAGCGCUUUUCGGACGGGGGUUCGACUCCCCCCGCCUCCACCA